rnacentral:sRNA from 1 species
ACAUGCCCGUCUUGGCUUUGUUGUUGCUUCAUCAUCAUUAAUCAUCCAAGCAGUAACUUCAAAGGGGCUACACUGUCUUCUCCACCCAGGAAAAAGAACGGUUGAAGCAAGAAAAACGUGAUGAGAAAAGAUUAAAUAAAGAGCGUAAACUAGAGCAGCGAAGAUUAGAAUUAGAAAUGGCAAAGGAACUAAAGAAGCCUAAUGAAGACAUGUGCUUAGCAGACCAAAAGCCUUUGCCAGAGUUGCCUCGUAUUCCAGGACUUGUUCUCUCUGGAAGUACAUUUUCAGACUGUCUCAUGGUGGUGCAGUUCUUACGAAACUUUGGUAAAGUUUUGGGCUUUGAUGUGAAUAUUGAUGUUCCAAACCUGAGUGUUCUUCAAGAGGGAUUGCUAAAUAUAGGGGACAGCAUGGGUGAAGUACAAGACUUGCUUGUGAGGCUCCUCUCAGCUGCUGUAUGUGAUCCAGGUCUAAUAACAGGAUACAAGGCUAAAACAGCUCUUGGAGAACAUUUGCUAAAUGUUGGUGUGAAUCGAGACAAUGUUUCCGAGAUUUUACAGAUAUUU